rnacentral:tRNA from 1 species
UCGGGUAUAGCUCAGUGGCAGAGCGCUAGCAUGCCUGAGGUCCUAGGUUCAAUCCCUAGUACCUCUA